UACGUAGGGUGCAAGCGUUGUCCGGAAUUAUUGGGCGUAAAGAGCUCGUAGGCGGCCGGUUGCGUCUGCUGUGAAAUCCCGGGGCUUAACUCCGGGCCUGCAGUGGGUACGGGCAGACUAGAGUGCGGUAGGGGAGACUGGAAUUCCUGGUGUAGCGGUGAAAUGCGCAGAUAUCAGGAGGAACACCGGUGGCGAAGGCGGGUCUCUGGGCCGUAACUGACGCUGAGGAGCGAAAGCGUGGGGAGCGAACAGG
rnacentral:rRNA from 1 species